CACUGACUUUGAUGUACUACAGUUAAUUGUAUUCUGACAAGAAGGUCUUUGUUCUGGUAGUGCAGAGUAAUUAUUCUGUAAUAAAAUUAUGCAACACUCCUUGACUUGCUAAUUUAUCAGCCUAAUAAAGGAUUCAACUCAAAUCAGCUAUGUUUCCUUAAAAACAAAAUGACAAUCCUCAUCUAUCAUUACCCUUGUUUUUUACCAACUGAAAUUACAUUUAAGCUGUGGUUGAACUCGACAAUUUUUUUUAAAUUACUAAACACACUGUACUUUAUAGUUAAAAGAUGUCAUUUUCACUGAAAUGGAGUUUAGAAAUAGUUUCAAGAAACCAAAGUUUAUGCAAAUAUCAAAGUUGAAUUGCCACAUUCAGGGAUGACCAGUCUUCACUGAAAAAGUAUGAAAAUUGGCCUGGGGUCCAGGGUACACGAUUCACAAGAAUGACCCAAAUGACCAAUUCCAACAAAAGUCGGGAAAGUCUCAUCAGUGCAUAUUAUUAUUUUUUUAUUGCCUGAAUGCUACAUCUGUAUCCACUCUGUAACCACUGGGCCCAGAAGCAAUUUUUAAAUAUUGAGAUGUAAGGAGUUCUGGUUUUUAACAUUUGUAGGGGAAAUUCUGAAAUACCUGUUAUCUUUUAAACCUGGGGAAUCAAUGUAUCAAUAAAAAAACUCUACAUUUGCAGAUCUAUGGAGCAGUGAUAAAAAGGAGUCAUCAAAAUGAUGGACCAGGAGAGUUGCCACAACAGGCCAAUUAGAACAACAUCAGACUUUUGUGUGUAUACAAUAUGCAUGGCCUACAGGUAUGGGACAUCAACAAAAACCUAGACACAACCAGAUGCCAGGAAGUACAUGUAUUUUAAUAUUAAAAUAAUAUUAUGAUAAUAUUGAUAUAACAAUCAAAAGGACCCAGCUCCCAUUCCAUAUCCACAUCCUGGAAAUUACAUGGCUGCAUACAAUGAGUGAACCAUAAUGCACUUUUAUUAAUUACCAGCCCUAUGUAACAGAUAUAAAAUCUGUAUGUGCACACCUCAGCCACUCAUGAAUACAUUCAUAUAUAUAUUAAAAGUUCGUAAUAAUCAAAGUGAACGGGCAAAUGGGUAUUAGGGAUUGUGUCACACUGUGUAUUGUACGCUACCAGCAUAUCAAAUGAGUAAAUCAUGGCUAUAAAUCUGGAGACCAAGGAUUACUUUUACCAAGAGGAAAUGUAAAGACAGGCGAGUACAGGUGUUGUACUAAGUGCAUAGAUGUGACAAAAAAAACCAACGACAAGGUAACAAGGCAGGGAAAGUGAGAAGAACAAUUUAACAGCCAGAUCCACAAAGAGAAUGUCAGCAUGAACGGCUUGGAGCCCAUUCCAAGCAUAUCUUUGAACUGUGGAGGAAUGGGACAAAACUUUAAUAAAUUCCAGUCUUCUAGGAAGAUAAAAAUAUACUGCACACCUCUUGCCUUAGGACUUAUCAUUGGAUCAGUGAUAGGAUUCUAUCUAUUUCACGUCUUGCCCAGCAGGCACCUCUCAACUUUAGACCCAAAACAAAUUUCCAGGUCAAAUUUUGCCAAAUCCUUUCAACUUUCUCAAUCAGAUCAAAGAGAGAACCCCAGUCAAAGGCCUGAAGGUGUUCAUAAUACAAUAGGACUAAAUUUCAAUGAGGAGUCCAACUUGUCAAGAUCUAGAAGUUUAUACAUACGAAGCCAAACCCUCCUCAAGCUGAUACAACGGAAAUGUAUUCAAUAUGCAGGACAGUGGCUAUGUCAGUAACUCUAGUCUGGACUUGGCUCUGGCCUAAGUUUUACUUCAGCCAAUUUGCUGGAUAUCAGCAUUUUUGUGAAGAAAAAUUUUCCAAGAAGCAUUAUCAUUUCGUGCUACUGGGCAUAAUUUUAUAUGUUGUGCAACCAUAAAACAUCCAGCAUGUUACAUAAACUUUCAAUAUGAUGGCAAUUACUUGUUGCAAACAAAAUUGUUCAAUAGUAUUUUGCAAAAAUUAUUUCGGUAAUGCCUGUAAAUGUGUAGAAGAGGCAAUAUGCUUCUUUUCAGGAUGUAUGUUUUUUUGCAAGUAAUAAAUGAACCCCCAAAAAUAAGAAUUUCAAUAUGGGGAUAUGUGGUGCGUUUGCAAUUUGUACUGAAAGAUACUUUUACAAUUAUCCAUGGCAGUUAGAAGGAAGACACUCAGAACUGACAGUGCUUGGAUAUAUGCAUGUUGUCAAUGCAAAGCAUAAUAAAAAUAAAACAUUCACAGUAAUUUUAGUUACUCACUUUGGCUGGAACGUAUUGCAAACACCAUAUCCCUAUGCCUUAGCUCUUAUAACCUUAUUGAUUUGUUUAACCAAAGACUCAAUUGAUCAACUUAGAAUAAAGAAAAUGAAAAAGAACUUUGCCAAAACUUCCAAAUUUCUUCUCCAGUGAAAUAUUUCUCUUCAAAUAUUUGACCAAAAGGAAUGCCAAUGUGUGCAAGAAGUGUUGGAUUUAUUAAUAAAAAUAUUUAACUUAGGUUGGUGCUAACAUACAAUAUUAAAGGUUGGUGCUAUCUUCAACACUUAGGAGUAAAAAAUAACAAAGAUAAAAGAUU